UUGAAGGAUUUUUUUUCUACAAAUAAUAAAUUUAGGUGCCAUUAAUUGUGGUUGGGGUUAAGUUUUCAUUUCAUGAUUGACUAAUGAAGGUCGAGGUGCCGUAAUUACAAUCCAGUUGGUCAGUACAGUAGUCUUGCCGAUUGUCUAUCAAUAGCCUAUCGAAAGGCCACCCAAUCACUCAUAUUAUCGUUAAUAAAAUAUCAUAUUUUCUAAGAAAAAUAACAGCGUUUAUCGCAAAUUUAGCUAAAACAUUUCCAAAAGCAUGGCAGAUUACGGUUUUCUUAAUUUACCAAAUAAAACUGUGUUGUUUUUUUUUCAAUGUCUUCUAUCAAUGCAAUGGUAUCGUUAAACUAAUUUAGACCCAUCGAUAGUAUGAGCGAUUUCAGGUAGGUAGGAUCUAUCAAUUAAUCGAUAAUUGAUUUUAAGACAUUCCUAUUGAUUACUCAGAUGGUUUUCAAACAAUUUGAUAUUUUAAUCGAAUUUAUGUAAUAUCAAUAUCGAUUACCGAUUUUAUGGAAAAAAUAAUGACCCCGCACUAGUUGCACCGCGCAUGCGCCAUGCGGCCAUGUUUAUUUGUUUACAUUAUUUUGUCAGUAAAUAAUUUGCGUUCGUUGCGAUGUUUUGUUGUUGACGUUCUGGAUAAUUAGAUAUUCAAAUAGCUAAGUAAUACAGUGAAAUUAUGGUGAUGUGUGUUGAGUGGUGUUGGUGCAAUAGGAC